AGACAGUGACUGGUCUUCACAUCGACCUCACAGCUUCGGGACGCGGACAUGAUGUCACAGAGUCGUCCCCCAUCUUCCUCUACACGGACACAGGUGUGUUCUCCCACACAGAUCUGGUUACCAUGGCAACAGACUCCACAGGGACAGACACGGCAGCCGAUCCAACAGGAAGUCCUCUGGACCUCAGUCGUCCAGCUGUGACCGAUCACACCCAGACAGCUGGU